rnacentral:rRNA from 1 species
GCGGAGGGAUCAUUACAGAGUUGCAAAACUCCCUAAACCAUCGCGAACGUACCCCGUACAGUUGCUUCGGCGCGGCGGCUCCUCGGAGCCCUCGGCCCUCACGGGCGCCCGCCGGAGUGACCAUACCCCAAACUAUUUAUAUUCUAGGCCUCUCUGAGUAAUACUAUAAUAAGUAAAAACUUUCAACAACGGAUCUCUUGGUUCUGGCAUCGAUGAAGAACGCAGCGAAAUGCGAUAAGUAAUGUGAAUUGCAGAAUUCAGUGAAUCAUCGAAUCUUUGAACGCACAUUGCGCCCGCUAGUAUUCUGGCGGGCAUGCCUGUUCGAGCGUCAUUUCAACCAUCAAGCCCAGCUUGUGUUGGGGCCCUGCGCCUGCAGGCCCUUAAAACCAGUGGCGGGCUCGCCUACACUCCGAGCGCAGUAAUACAUCUCGUUCUGGUCGUGUGGCGGGCGCUUGCCGUAAAACACCCCCCUUCUCAAGGUUGACCUCGGAUCAGGUAGGAAUACCCGCUGAACUUAAGCAUAUCAAUAAGCGGAGGA